rnacentral:rRNA from 1 species
CGCCAGCAGCCGCGGUAAUACGUAGGUGGCAAGCGUUGUCCGGAAUUAUUGGGCGUAAAGGGUGCGUAGGCGGUCUUUUAAGUGGGAUGUGAAAUACCUAGGCUUAACUUAGGAAUGGCAUUCCAAACUGGAAGACUAGAGUGCAGGAGAGGAAAGUGGAAUUCCCAGUGUAGCGGUGAAAUGCGUAGAGAUUGGGAGGAACACCAGUGGCGAAGGCGACUUUCUGGACUGUAACUGACGCUGAGGCACGAAAGCGUGGGGAGCAAACAGGAUUAGAUACCCUGGUAGUCCACGCUGUAAACGAUGAGUACUAGGUGUGGGGGGCGAAGCCCUCUGUGCCGCAGUUAACACAAUAAGUACUCCGCCUGGGAAGUACGAUCGCAAGAUUAAAACUUAAAGGAAUUGGCGGGGGA